AUUGAACGCUGGCGGAAUGCUUUACACAUGCAAGUCGAACGGUAACGCGGGGCAACCUGGCGACGAGUGGCGAACGGGUGAGUAAUGUAUCGGAACGUGCCCAGUUGUGGGGGAUAACUGCUCGAAAGAGCAGCUAAUACCGCAUACGACCUGAGGGUGAAAGCGGGGGAUCGCAAGACCUCGCGCAGUUGGAGCGGCCGAUAUCAGAUUAGGUAGUUGGUGGGGUAAAGGCUCACCAAGCCAACGAUCUGUAGCUGGUCUGAGAGGACGACCAGCCCCACUGGGACUGAGACACGUGCCAGACUCCUACGGGAGGCAGCAGUGGGGAAUUUUGGACAAUGGGCGCAAGCCUGAUCCAGCCAUGCCGCGUGCGGGAAGAAGGCCUUCGGGUUGUAAACCGCUUUUGUCAGGGAAGAAAAGACUCCUGUUAAUACCGGGGGUUCAUGACGGUACCUGAAGAAUAAGCACCGGCUAACUACGUGCCAGCCGCCGCGGUAA
rnacentral:rRNA from 1 species